rnacentral:ncRNA from 3 species
UUCUUAUUAAGAGUAGGUGGAGGGACUAGCCCGAUGAAGCCCGGCAACCGACUUAACGCAUGUUAAGCACGGUGCUAAUUCUUGCAGCAGCAGCUGAGAGAUAAGAA